AGAGUUUGAUCCUGGCUCAGGAUGAACGCUAGCGGCAGGCUUAAUACAUGCAAGUCGUGGGGCAGCAUGACUGUAGCAAUACAGUUGAUGGCGACCGGCAAACGGGUGCGGAACACGUACACAACCUUCCUUCGAGUGGGGAAUAGCCCGGGGAAACUCGGAUUAAUACCCCGUAACAUAAUGAAGUGGCAUCACUUUAUUAUUAUAGCUCCGGCGCUUGAAGAUGGGUGUGCGACUGAUUAGGCAGUUGGCGGGGUAACGGCCCACCAAACCUACGAUCAGUAACUGGUGUGAGAGCACGACCAGUCACACGGGCACUGAGACACGGGCCCGACUCCUACGGGAGGCAGCAGUAAGGAAUAUUGGUCAAUGGACGCAAGUCUGAACCAGCCAUGCCGCGUGGAGGAUGAAGGUCCUCUGGAUUGUAAACUUCUUUUAUCUGGGAAGAAAUGCAUUUUUUCCAGAAUGUUUGACGGUACCAGGUGAAUAAGCACCGGCUAACUCCGUGCCAGCAGCCGCGGUA
rnacentral:rRNA from 1 species